rnacentral:rRNA from 1 species
GACGGAGGAUGCAAGCGUUAUCCGGAAUGAUUGGGCGUAAAGCGUCCGCAGGUGGCAGUUCAAGUCUGCUGUCAAAGACCGGGGCUUAACUUCGGAAAGGCAGUGGAAACUGAACAGCUAGAGUAUGGUAGGGGCAGAGGGAAUUCCUGGUGUAGCGGUGAAAUGCGUAGAGAUCAGGAAGAACAUCGGUGGCGAAGGCGGCCUGCUGGGACGUGGCUGACGCUGAGGCGCGACAGCGUGGGGAGCAAACAGG